UACGAAGGGGGCUAGCGUUGCUCGGAAUCACUGGGCGUAAAGCGCACGUAGGCGGAUUGCUAAGUCAGGGGUGAAAUCCUGGAGCUCAACUCCAGAACUGCCUUUGAUACUGGCGAUCUCGAGUCCGGGAGAGGUGAGUGGAACUGCGAGUGUAGAGGUGAAAUUCGUAGAUAUUGGGAAGAACACCGGUGGCGAAGGCGGCGACCUGGUCCGAUACUGACGCUGAGGCGCGAAAGCUAGGGGAGCAAACAGG
rnacentral:rRNA from 1 species